rnacentral:tRNA from 1 species
CAUUAAGAAGCUUUUACAGCACUAGCCUUUUAAGCUAGAGACGGAGAUACCCAACUCCCUUAAUGACCU